rnacentral:rRNA from 1 species
UGACGGGGGCCCGCACAAGCGGUGGAGCAUGUGGUUUAAUUCGAAGCAACGCGCAGAACCUUACCAGGUCUUGACAUCCACGGAACCCUGGUGAAAGCCGGGGGUGCCCGCAAGGGAGCCGUGAGACAGGUGCUGCAUGGUCGUCGUCAGCUCGUGUCGUGAGAUGUUGGGUUAAGUCCCGCAACGAGCGCAACCCUUGUUGCUAGUUGCCAUCAGUUCGGCUGGGCACUCUAGCGAGACUGCCUACGAAAGUAGGAGGAAGGCGGGGAUGACGUCUGAUCCGCAUGGCCCUUACGACCUGGGCGACACACGUGCUACAAUGCCUGCCACAAAGCGCUGCGACCCGGCAACGGGAAGCCAAUCGCAUAAAGGCAGGCUCAGUUCGGAUUGGGGUCUGCAACUCGACCCCAUGAAGCUGGAAUCGCUAGUAAUCGCGGAUCAGCCAUGCCGCGGUGAAUACGUUCCCGGGCCUUGUACACACCGCCCGUCAAGCCAUGGGAGUGGGUUUUGCCUGAAGUCGCCGGGAGCCACAGGCAGGCGCCUAGGGUAAGGCUCAUGACUGGGGCUAAGUCG